UACAGGGGGGGCAAGCGUUGUUCGGAAUUACUGGGCGUAAAGGGUUCGUAGGUGGCCACCUAAGUCAGACGUGAAAUCCCUCAGCUUAACUGGGGAACUGCGUCUGAUACUGGGUGGCUUGAGUGCAGGAGAGGAAUGCGGAAUUCCAGGUGUAGCGGUGAAAUGCGUAGAUAUCUGGAGGAACACCAGAGGCGAAGGCGGCGAACUUGACAGUUACUGACACUCAACUGCGAAAGCGUGGGGAGCAAACAGG
rnacentral:rRNA from 1 species